rnacentral:rRNA from 1 species
UGGGGAAUCUUGCGCAAUGGGCGAAAGCCUGACGCAGCAACGCCGCGUGCGGGAAGAAGGCCUUCGGGUUGUAAACCGCUGUCAGGAGGGACGAAGCCACUCGGGUGAAUAGCCCAGAGGGUGACGGUACCUCCAGAGGAAGCCCCGGCUAACUACGUGCCAGCAGCCGCGGUAAUACGUAGGGGGCGAGCGUUGUCCGGAAUCAUUGGGCGUAAAGCGCGUGUAGGCGGCUUGCCAAGUCCGGUGUGAAAUCUCGGGGCUCAACCCCGAAACUGCGCUGGAAACUGGCUUGCUAGAGUCCGGAAGAGGAGAUUGGAAUUCCUGGUGUAGCGGUGAAAUGCGCAGAUAUCAGGAAGAACACCCGUGGCGAAGGCGGAUCUCUGGGACGGUACUGACGCUGGGACGCGAAAGCGUGGGGAGCGAACAG